UGUAGGAGCGGGCUUGCUCGCGAUAGCGGUGUGUCAGUCGACACUUUCAUCGACUGAUACUCCGCUAUCGCGAGCAAGCCCGCUCCCACA
rnacentral:misc_RNA from 1 species